UACGUAGGGGGCAAGCGUUGUCCGGAUUUAUUGGGCGUAAAGAGUGUGUAGGCGGUGUUCCCAGUCUGUUGUGAAAUCUCCCGGCUUAACUGGGAGGGUGCAGCGGAAACUAGAAUGCUAGAGGGUGGGAGAGGUAAGCGGAAUUCCUGGUGUAGCGGUGAAAUGCGUAGAUAUCAGGAGGAACACCUGUGGUGUAGACAGCUUACUGGACCACUUCUGACGCUGAGACACGAAAGCGUGGGUAGCAAACAGG
rnacentral:rRNA from 1 species